rnacentral:rRNA from 1 species
UGGUGGAGCGAUUUGUCUGGUUAAUUCCGAUAACGAACGAGACUCUAGCCUGCUAAAUAGUACGCCGAUCUCUAUGUCGGCGCGUACUUCUUAGAGGGACAAGUAGCGGAUAGCUACACGAAAUUGAGCAAUAACA